UUCCAUAGCAAACAUGCAUACUGUAAGACCCCCUUUCAGGGACCCCUACUCUAGUCUCAGGAGAGAGAGUGUACCCAAAGAAACACGAGAAUCC
rnacentral:pre_miRNA from 7 species